UACAGAGGGGGCAAGCGUUAUUCGGAAUUACUGGGCGUAAAGGGCGCGUAGGUGGCCUUCUAAGUUGAACGUGAAAUCCCUGGGCUCAACCCAGGAACUGCGUCCAAGACUGGGAGGCUUGAAUCCGGGAGAGGGAUGCGGAAUUCCAGGUGUAGCGGUGAAAUGCGUAGAUAUCAGGAGGAACACCGAUGGCGAAGGCAGGUCUCUGGGCCACUACUGACGCUGAGAAGCGAAAGCAUGGGGAGCGAACAGG
rnacentral:rRNA from 1 species